AACGUUAUUAAAAUAUAUGUAUAUUAGAAAAUGUUUAAUGCACUACCGCUGCACACGUUUCGAAAUUAAUAAACUUAGUGCUGAAUAAUAUCCACUAUAAAAACGUAUAAUAUAUACACAUUUUAUUGUCAUUUGAUGAUGAUGAUGACGAUAAUAAUGAUAAUAAUACGACGACAUUAGGUUUUUAACCAUAAUACAGCCGUCGCAUAUG